AUACGGAGAGGGCAAGCGUUGUUCGGAUUUAUUGGGCGUAAAGCGCGCGUAGGCGGUAUGGUAAGUCGGAUGUUAAAGACCCACGGCUCACCCGGGGGAAUGCGUUCGAUACUGCCGUACUGGAGUGUGGGAGAGGGAAGUGGAAUUCCUGGUGUAGCGGUGAAAUGCGUAGAUAUCAGGAGGAACACCUGUGGCGAAGGCGGCUUCCUGGCCCAUAACUGACGCUGAGGCGCGAAAGCGUGGGGAGC
rnacentral:rRNA from 1 species